rnacentral:rRNA from 1 species
AAUAUUGCGCAAUGGCCGAAAGGCUGACGCAGCGACGCCGCGUGUGGGAGGAAGCCCUUCGGGGUGUAAACCACUGUCGGGAGGGACGAAUCGCGAACGGGCGAACAGCCCGGGCGCUUGACGGUACCUCCAAAGGAAGCACCGGCUAACUCCGUGCCAGCAGCCGCGGUAAGACGGAGGGUGCAAGCGUUGUGCGGAAUUACUGGGCGUAAAGCGCUCGCAGGUGGUGCGCUGCGUCGUGCGUGAAAGACCCCGGCUCAACUGGGGGAUGUCGUGCGAUACGGGCGGACUGGAGGCCAGUAGGGGGAUGCGGAAUUCCGGGUGUAGUGGUGGAAUGCGUAGAGAUCCGGAGGAACACCAGCGGCGAAGGCGGCAUCCUGGACUGGUCCUGACACUCAGGAGCGAAAGCGUGGGGAGCGAUC